UAAGGAAUAUUGGUCAAUGGACGCAAGUCUGAACCAGCCAUGCCGCGUGAAGGAUGAAGGUCCUCUGGAUUGUAAACUUCUUUUAUCUGGGACGAAAACGGGAUUUUUAUCUCAAUUGACGGUACCAGAGGAAUAAGCACCGGCUAACUCCGUGCCAGCAGCCGCGGUAAUACGGAGGGUGCGAGCGUUAUCCGGAUUUACUGGGUGUAAAGGGUGCGUAGGUGGGCUUAUAAGUCAGUGGUGAAAUCUCCGAGCUUAACUUGGAAGCUGCCGUUGAUACUAUAGGUCUUGAAUUAUCUGGAGGUAAGCGGAAUAUGUCAUGUAGCGGUGAAAUGCUUAGAUAUGACAUAGAACACCAAUUGCGAAGGCAGCUUACUACAUAUAAAUUGACGCUGAGGCACGAAAGCGUGGGGAUCAAACA
rnacentral:rRNA from 1 species